AUCUGCGUUUGGAGCUUGUGGAUUUUUGGCUUUUGCAUCGUAGCGUUUUGAUUUCGCACGCGUGUGCGUUUGGAGCUGUAGCUGGUUGAUGGAGCCGUUGCUUUGUGGCUUGGAUUAUCACAUUUUGCUGCUGAGUCGAGCUUUGGUAGUAGCUUUUCGUUUAUGCUUCCCGUUUUGGUUGUUUUCACUUGCAGCUUUAUGCUUGAAUUCUUUGUGUUUGGAAGAGCUUUUGAAGCUGGCUUUGUAGUAGCGUUGUUUCUUGCGCGGAUGGAAGCUUUUCGCGUGCUGUAGCAACUGGUAUUAUUUUUCAUCGUCGUUUGGCUUAUGCAGCUACUUGGCAGCUUGUGUUUGAAAUGUUAUCCACGUUUGGUUACUGCACUGCACUACACUGUAAUUCACGUUUGGUUAAUGGAUACUUUUAAUUGGAUAUUGGACUAAAAUUGGUUAAGUGGAUUAAA